rnacentral:rRNA from 1 species
AUUGAACGCUGGCGGCAGGCUUAACACAUGCAAGUCGAGCGAGCGGCGGACGGGUGAGUUAUGUCUGGGAAACUGCCUGAUGGAGGGGGAUAACUACUGGAAACUGUAUCUAAUACCGCAUACCAUCAUAUGCGCCUAGAUGGGAUUAGCUAGUAGGUGGGGUAAUGGCACACCGAGGCGACUAUCUCUAGCUGGUCUGAGAGGAUGACCAGCAACACUGGAACUGAGACACGGUCCAGACUCCUACGGGAGGCAGCAGUGGGGAAUAUUGCACAAUGGGCGCAAGCCUGAUGCAGCCAUGCCGCGUGUGUGAAGAAGGCCUUCGGGUUGUAAAGCACUUUCAGCGAGGAGGCGUUACUCGCAGAAGAAGCACCGGCUAACUCCGUGCCAGCAGCCGCGGUAAUUC